rnacentral:rRNA from 1 species
GCAAGUCGAACGGAAACGAUGGGAGCUUGCUCCCAGGCGUCGAGUGGCGGACGGGUGAGUAACACAUAGGAAUCUGCCCAGUAGCGGGGGACAACUUGGGGAAACUCAAGCUAAUACCGCAUACGCCCUACGGGGGAAAGCGGGGGACCUUCGGGCCUCGCACUAUUGGAUGAGCCUAUGUCAGAUUAGCUUGUUGGUGGGGUAAUGGCCUACCAAGGCGACGAUCUGUAGCUGGUCUGAGAGGACGAUCAGCCACACUGGGACUGAGACACGGCCCAGACUCCUACGGGAGGCAGCAGUGGGGAAUAUUGCACAAUGGGCGAAAGCCUGAUGCAGCAAUGCCGCGUGUGUGAAGAAGGCCUGCGGGUUGUAAAGCACUUUCAGUGGGGAGGAAACAGUUGCGGGUUAAUAUCCCGCGACCUUGACGUUACCCACAGAAGAAGCACCGGCUAACUCUGUGCCAGCAGCCGCGGUAAUACAGAGGGUGCGAGCGUUAAUCGGAAUUACUGGGCGUAAAGCGCGCGUAGGCGGCUUGGUCAGUCGGAUGUGAAAGCCCCGGGCUUAACCUGGGAAUUGCAUUCGAUACUGCCUGGCUAGAAUGUAGUAGAGGGAAGUGGAAUUCCGGGUGUAGCGGUGAAAUGCGUAGAUAUCCGGAGGAACAUCAGUGGCGAAGGCGACUUCCUGGACUAACAUUGACGCUGAGGUGCGAAAGCGUGGG